GACGAACGCUGGCGGCGCGCCUAACACGUGCAAGUCGAGCGAGAACCAGGGCUUCGGCCCUGGGGACAGCGGCGAACGGGUGAGUAACACGUGGAUAACCUGCCCUCGGCACCGGAAUAGCCCGGGGAAACCCGGAUUAAUGCCGGAUGGCCCCACAUCCCUGCGGGGAACGUGGGAAAAGGUAGCUUCGGCCUCCGGCCGAGGAUGGGUCCGCGGUGGAUUAGCUUGUUGGCGGGGUAACGGCCCACCAAGGCGACGAUCCAUAGCUGGUCUGAGAGGACGAUCAGCCACACUGGGACUGAGACACGGCCCAGACUCCUACGGGAGGCAGCAGUGGGGAAUCUUGCGCAAUGGGCGAAAGCCUGACGCAGCGACGCCGCGUGCGGGAAGAAGGCCUUCGGGUUGUAAACCGCUUUCAGGAGGGACGAAGCCACUCGGGUGAACAGCCCAGAGGGUGACGGUACCUCCAGAAGAAGCCCCGGCUAACUACAUGCCAGCCGCCGCCGUAAGAC
rnacentral:rRNA from 1 species